GGACCCGCACAAGCAGUGGAGUAUGUGGUUUAAUUCGACGCAACGCGAAGAACCUUACCAGGGCUUGACAUCCUACUAACGAAGCAGAGAUGCAUUAGGUGCCCUUCGGGGAAAGUAGAGACAGGUGGUGCAUGGUUGUCGUCAGCUCGUGUCGUGAGAUGUUGGGUUAAGUCCCGCAACGAGCGCAACCCUUAUUGUUAGUUGAUACAUUUAGUUGAUCACUCUAGCGAGACUGCCGUUGAUAAAACGGAGGAAGGUGGGGACGACGUCAAAUCAUCAUGCCCUUUAUGUCCUGGGCUACACACGUACUACAAUGGCAGUCAUACAGAGGGAUGCAAAACGGCGACGUGGAGCGAAACCCUAAAAGCUGUCUCAGUUCAGAUUGCAGGCUGCAACUCGCCUGCAUGAAGGCGGAAUUGCUAGUAAUCGCGGAUCAGCAUGCCGCGGUGAAUACGUUCCCGGGUCUU
rnacentral:rRNA from 1 species